GACGAACGCUGGCGGCGUGCCUAAUACAUGCAAGUCGAGCGAAGUUUUUCUGGUGCUUGCACCGGAAAAACUUAGCGGCGAACGGGUGAGUAACACGUAAAGAACCUGCCCCAUAGACUGGGACAACUAUUGGAAACGAUAGCUAAUACCGGAUAAUAGCAUUAACUGCAUGGUUGAUGUUUAAAAGUUGGUUUUGCUAACACUAUGAGAUGGCUUUGCGGUGCAUUAGCUAGUUGGUGGGGUAAAGGCCUACCAAGGCGACGAUGCAUAGCCGACCUGAGAGGGUGAUCGGCCACACUGGGACUGAGACACGGCCCAGACUCCUACGGGAGGCAGCAGUAGGGAAUCUUCCGCAAUGGGCGAAAGCCUGACGGAGCAACGCCGCGUGAGUGAAGAAGGAUUUCGGUUCGUAAAGCUCUGUUGUUAGGGAAGAAUGAGUGUGUAGUAACUAUACACAGUAGAGACGGUACCUAACCAGAAAGCCACGGCUAACUACGUG
rnacentral:rRNA from 1 species